rnacentral:piRNA from 1 species
UUUACUUUCAUUCAUUAGUCAGAUAAAGCUGC